GUUAGGAGAUCUGAGCGGUUUGAGGCGCUGCAUUUAGGUUGCAGUCAACGCUGUGGGUGUGGGUUCGAAUCCCACUCGCGACG
rfam:Schistosoma haematobium scaffold564_30, whole genome shotgun sequence.